rnacentral:rRNA from 1 species
UACAGAGGGGGCAAGCGUUGUUCGGAAUUACUGGGCGUAAAGGGCGCGUAGGCGGCCUGUUAAGUCGAACGUGAAAUCCCCGGGCUCAACCCGGGAACUGCGUCCGAUACUGGCAGGCUUGAAUCCGGGAGAGGGAUGCGGAAUUCCAGGUGUAGCGGUGAAAUGCGUAGAUAUCAGUCGGAACACCGGUGGCGAAGGCGGCUUCUUGGGCCUGGACUGACGCUGAGGCGCGAAAGCUGGGGGAGCGAACGGG